CUGCCUUUAGCUCAGCUGGAUAGAGUAUCGGACUCCGAUUCCGACGGUCGGGGGUUCAAAUCCCCCAAGGCAGGCCA
rnacentral:tRNA from 1 species